UGGGGAAUAUUGCACAAUGGGGGAAACCCUGAUGCAGCGACGCCGCGUGGAGGAAGAAGGUCUUCGGAUUGUAAACUCCUGUUGUUGAGGAAGAUAAUGACGGUACUCAACAAGGAAGUGACGGCUAACUACGUGCCAGCAGCCGCGGUAAAACGUAGGUCACAAGCGUUGUCCGGAAUUACUGGGUGUAAAGGGAGCGCAGGCGGGAAGACAAGUUGGAAGUGAAAUCCAUGGGCUCAACCCAUGAACUGCUUUCAAAACUGUUUUUCUUGAGUAGUGCAGAGGUAGGCGGAAUUCCCGGUGUAGCGGUGGAAUGCGUAGAUAUCGGGAGGAACACCAGUGGCGAAGGCGGCCUACUGGGCACCAACUGACGCUGAGGCUCGAAAGUGUGGGUAGCAAACAGGAUUAGAUACCUUGGUAGUCCACACCGUAAACGAUGAUUACUAGGUGUUGGAGGAUUGACCCCUUCAGUGCCGCAGUUAACACAAUAAGUAAUCCACCUGGGGAGUACGACCGCAAGGUUGAAACUCAAAGGAAUUGACGGGGGCCCGCACAAGCAGUGGAGUAUGUGGUUUAAUUCGACGCAACGCGAAGAACCUUACCAAGUCUUGACAUCCUGCGACGGACAUAGAAAUAUGUCUUUCCUUCGGGACGCAGAGACAGGUGGUGCAUGGUUGUCGUCAGCUCGUGUCGUGAGAUGUUGGGUUAAGUCCCGCAACGAGCGCAACCCUUAUGGUCAGUUACUACGCAAGAGGACUCUGGCCAGACUGCCGUUGACAAAACGGAGGAAGGUGGGGAUGACGUCAAAUCAUCAUGCCCUUUAUGACUUGGGCUACACACGUACUACAAUGGCGUUAAACAAAGAGAAGCAAGACCGCGAGGUGGAGCAAAACUCAGAAACAACGUCCCAGUUCGGACUGCAGGCUGCAACUCGCCUGCACGAAGUCGGAAUUGCUAGUAAUCGUGGAUCAGCAUGCCACGGUGAAUACGUUCCC
rnacentral:rRNA from 1 species